rnacentral:snoRNA from 1 species
GAUUGUCUGAGCGAGAGAAUGUGAGAGUGUUUGUGAGUGAAUGUGAGAGUGAAUGUGUCUUGUAAAACCUACACACUGAUCUUAUUUGAUCUGACCAGAGUUUAGCUCUUCUCGGGUCGGAGAUGAUAAGAACAAACGCUCUGUAGCCCUUUGGUGGCGAUGUUCAGCAGCGCGUCUUCAAGAGCUUUUCCACGCUUAAGCUGUGGUUAGAAGUGAUGAAUUGAUCAGAUAUACUAGUUCUCAGUAUGGCCUUGGGUUUAUCCCGGGGCAGCUCUGUGGAACAAUGAGUAUAGAGGCGAUUCUGAUCUUU